UACGGAGGGUGCAAGCGUUAUCCGGAUUCACUGGGUUUAAAGGGUGCGUAGGUGGGUUUGAAAGUCAGUGGUGAAAUCUCCGGGCUCAACCCGGAAACUGCCAUUGAUACUACAGGUCUUGAAUUUUCUGGAGGAUAGCGGAAUAUGUCAUGUAGCGGUGAAAUGCUUAGAUAUGACAUAGAACACCAAUUGCGAAGGCAGCUAUCUACAGGGAUAUUGACACUGAGGCACGAAAGCGUGGGGAUCAAACAGG
rnacentral:rRNA from 1 species